rnacentral:rRNA from 1 species
UGGGGAAUAUUGCACAAUGGGGGAAACCCUGACGCAGCAACGCCGCGUGGGUGAUGAAGGCCUUCGGGUCGUAAAGCCCUGUCGGGCGGGAAGAACGUCCCUUCGGGGAAUGACGGUACCGCCAGAGGAAGCACCGGCUAACUCCGUGCCAGCAGCCGCGGUAAUACGGAGGGUGCAAGCGUUAUUCGGAAUUACUGGGCGUAAAGGGCGUGCAGGCGGGAGAGCAAGUCUGAUGUGAAAGCCCGGGGCUUAACCCCGGAAGGGCAUUGGAAACUGCUUUUCUUGAGUUCUGGAGAGGAAGGGAGAAUUCCCGGUGUAGAGGUGAAAUUCGUAGAGAUUGGGAGGAACAUCAGUGGCGAAGGCGCCCUUCUGGACAGCAACUGACGCUGAGACGCGAAAGCGUGGGGAGCAAACA